rnacentral:lncRNA from 1 species
UGGUUCAGAAUCAUGACUUUAUUUAAGCUAAAUUUACAAAAGAUUAGUCUGUUUAAAAGAGAUUGGAGAAAAGCAUUUGGGACAAGGAGACUUGUUAGAGGUUAUUUAGUUAAUUGAGAUAAAUAUGGCUAAACUUUGAAGGAGGAGGAAAACUGAAGCAAUAGAUACUAGAAACAUUUCAGUGAUUUAAUUCACAUGACAGGAACAGUUAGAAAUGCCUCCAAUAUUUAAUGCCCUAAGACUGGAAACAUGAUGGUACCACUGGAAGAGAGAGGGAAACUGAAAUACAUAGUAUAUUCGGACUUAAGGUGAUAUUUAGUUUGGAAACUUUGAGCUUGAAAUGGUAGCAAGGUAACAAGCAAAGGUAUAGGAAUUAAUGAGACUCUUCUCAUUGCUUUGGGGGAGUCAUCUAAAUUAGACUGUAUCUGCUCAAAAGCAAAAAGGUUAAGAAGGGAUAAAAGGUCUAAAUAUGAACUCUCAGGAGUCAGAGAUUGAAAGUAUAAGAGCACUAAGAUAAUAAGAGGAAUCAGCAAAAGAGGCAGGAAAAAGAAAAAAUUGGAAGAUAACAAGAAUAGCGUAGAAUCACAUAAUCCAGCAGUGCAAAUAGUAACUAAGAACAAAUCUUCACAAUAAUAAGGGGUGAAGAAGAACAGAGUUUUGAUGUGAAAGCAGUUAGAGUUUUAAAAAAGAGAGUUCAAUAGGAUUAUAGUAUAAACGAGGGUCAUGGGAUUAAAGUUCAAGAGCCAAAGAUGUGAUGUCAUUAAGCAGAAAUAUGGAGAGCAUGAGUAAUGGGACAAUCAAUUAGUUCUUUACUAAACAACUACCACUGACUGAGCAGAAGGCAUAUUCAAGGUACUAGGCUACGUGACAUGAGACACAAUUGUUCACACUCUGGAUUGGGAGGUGGAAAGAAUAACAUAAUGUAGAAAGUUGACAGUUGGAAAGAGACCAAGCCCUAUGGACAGAGGAUGAUGCCAAAGGCCUUAACAAAAUGUAGCCAUAAGCUUGGACUUAAAGGACAUGAGGAUAUAUAAACAGAUGAAGUGAGAAGGGAGGGCAUUCUAUGUAGGAGGGGCUAGAUGCUUGGAAGGUCUUUGGUGUUCUAGCAGAUAUGACCUAAUGCCCACCCAAUCUUAAUCCUUCAACUCCCAUUUUCUGCUAUGGAAUCCACAUUAAUUCAUGCAGCAAUGAAAAACUCCCGAUCUCAAGUGGAGAAGGGCCCUAUCUUAGUUUCAAGAAAUGGAUUAUGAUUGGCCUAAAUUAGAAGUCUAUUCUCAUGUACCUGUGUCAUUGGUUGGCCUGAGGGGCCAUCUAAUUUAAUUCUGCCAAUGAGAAAUAAGAGAAAGUUUACAUUAUUUUUUAAUUAAAAAAGAUAAAACUUAGUUGGCAACACCUUUGGUCCUUUUGGAUUUUCCUCCUUGUUCUGCUUUGAAAAUGGACUAAUUCCUCAAGAAACAGUAGCUAGCUUAUAUUGACAAGCAAUGAAGUUAAAUGUCAAGACACUAGAUUUCACUGAGUAAAGAAGUAAAGCCUGAGCCUUGGUCAUUUUCAUGGUCCUUGAGCAGCUGCACCAGACUGGAAUACCUACCCCCAGACUCCUUGUCUUGUUUUUUUAAAAAAGCACUUAUUUGUAGCAACUAUUUAAUAUUUUUUGUUGUUACCUGUUGCCAAAUAAUUCAUAACAGACAUAGAUUUUGAGCAGUUAUGAUAAUGGGACAAAGACAAGUUGAGUGGAAAAAUAAAUUU